CUUUGAUACUUGUAGACUCUGGGGAUGGAUGUGCCGCGCAAAACUCGCAGUUCGGGGCUCAUCCACCGACCCUCUCAUUGGGCUCUAUCAAGAGGGUACUCAUAAUGUAGUUGAUAUUCCUGAUUGUAAAGCUCACCAUCCAAACAUUAGUGCUGCUGUUGAACUCCUAAAGCAAGGCUUGUUCUAUGUCCUAAAUCUUUCAUUUUAAUCUAGAAUCGAUUUUAAAAAUGCCACGGGCACAUCAUAAUGGAUGUAUUUCUGUCUAAAAUCUCUAUUGAUCGUUUUCGAUUUAAUUUUAUUUUUUUAGGUAUUGCCGAGUUAAAUGUAGAACCAUAUGAUGAAGACCGGGGGACAGGUGAAUUGCGUUAUGUUCAGGUGAAUAAUUGCGUAAUGCCAAUACAAUUUUCCUGGAAUUUUAUUAUGGAUAAAGUUAAGUGGUUGUGAUUUGCAAUUUUUGCUUUUGUAAUGGAUGAUGAUUUUGUAUGCAGAUGGCUGUGACCACAUACAACACAUCCCUUCCUUAUGCUGAAAGAUAUAGAAAUGGAAAAGUACAGGUUGCCUUGGUUUGGAAUAUUAGAAAAGAGAACUCCCCUUCCUCGAAAAAGUUAAAUGCUUUGGCCAAUGUGUGCCCAUUCUCUCUCUCUCUCUCUCUUUCAUUUUUAUAUUUUCUUUGGACAUGAUAGUUUAUUUUAAUUCAUUGACUGAUGUUCAAACUGUUGUUUGUAGUUCUUAUGGAGAUAUGGUGGGCCAAACAGGAAAGUCCAUUUAAUUCAUUCUGUUUGGGCAAACUUCCAGACUUCAAUUAACAAUGUGAGUGUAAAGUGUGUGGGUUUUUGUGUCUGUGCACAUGUGUUUACUUGUUGGCGUGGGCAUCCAUACACUAAGUAUGUUUAGUAUGAACUGCUUCAUUUGUUUGUUAAAGUGGAUAUAAUUAGCUUGUAAUUUUUUAGAAUGUUGGUCUCAUUACUAAGAUGGUGUUAUUUUGAUGAUCGUUU